GCCGAAAGAGGACGGUUAACGCCACGCUGUAACCGUGGAGGCGCGGGUUCGAGUCCCGCCGGCGGCG
rnacentral:tRNA from 1 species